AUGCAGGAGAUGGUACAGUGAUGACUUUAAUGCAGUAGAUGACAGUGAUGAUGCAGGAGGUGGUACAGUGAUGACUUUAAUGCGGUAGAUGACAGUGAUGAUGCAGGAGAUGGUACAGUGAUGACUUUAAUGCAGUAGAUGACAGUGAUGAUGCAGGAGAUGGUACAGUGGUGACUUUAAUGCGGUAGAUGACAGUGAUGAUGCAGGAGGUGGUACAGUGAUGACUUUAAUGCGGUAGAUGACAGUGAUGAUGCAGGAGGUGGUACAGUGAUGACUUUAAUGCGGUAGAUGACAGUGAUGAUGCAGGAGGUGGUACAGUGAUGACUUUAAUGCGGUAGAUGACAGUGAUGAUGCAGGAGGUGGUACAGUGAUGACUUUAAUGCGGUAGAUGACAGUGAUGAUGCAGGAGGUGGUACAGUGAUGACUUUAAUGCGGUAGAUGACAGUGAUGAUGCAGGAGAUGGUACAGUGAUGACUUUAAUGCGGUAGAUGACAGUGAUGAUGCAGGAGGUGGUACAGUGAUGACUUUAAUGCGGUAGAUGACAGUGAUGAUGCAGGAGAUGGUACAGUGAUGACUUUAAUGCGGUAGAUGACAGUGAUGAUGCAGGAGAUAGUACAGUGAUGACUUUAAUGCGGUAGAUGACAGUGAUGAUGCAGGAGAUAGUACAGUGAUGACUUUAAUGCAGUAGGUGACAGUGAUGAUGCAGGAGAUGGUACAGUGAUGACUUUAAUGCAGUAGAUGACAGUGAUGAUGCAGGAGAUGGUACAGUGAUGACUUUAAUGCAGUAGAUGACAGUGAUGAUGCAGGAGAUGGUACAGUGAUGACUUUAAUGCAGUAGAUGACAGUGAUGAUGCAGGAGAUGGUACAGUGAUGACUUUAAUGCAGUAGAUGACAGUGAUGAUACAGGAGAUGGUACUGUGAUGACUCUAGGUGUUUUUGACUACAUGUUGGUGACUCUAGAUGCACUGGAUGCUAUAGUGAACCUCUAAAAAAAAAUACCCGUAGAAAAGGCACAUUAUGAGCACUGUGCACACAAGUAAAUACACACACACACACACACACACACACACACACACACACACACA